UACGGGGGUGCGGAGCGUUGUCCGGAAUCACUGGGCGUAAAGGGCGCGAUAGGUGGUUUGAGUAAGGGUGUGGUGAAAGUCCGGGGCUCAACCCCGGAUCUGCCGUGCCGACUGUCAAACUCGAGGACUGUAGAGGCAGACGGAAUUCCGGGUGUAGCGGUGGAAUGCGUAGAUAUCAGGAGGAACACCGGUGGCGAAGGCGGGUCUCUGGGCCGAUACUGACGCUGAGGAGCGAAAGCGUGGGGAGCGAACAGG
rnacentral:rRNA from 1 species